AAAUUGAAGAGUUUGAUCAUGGCUCAGAUUGAACGCUGGCGGCAGGCUUAACACAUGCAAGUCGAACGGUAGCAGGRAGRAAGCUUGCUUUCUUUGCUGACGAGUGGCGGACGGGUGAGUAAUGCUUGGGGAUCUGGCUUAUGGAGGGGGAUAACGACGGGAAACUGUCGCUAAUACCGCGUAAUGUCUAAGGACUAGAGGGUGGGACUUUCGGGCCACCUGCCAUAAGAUGAGC
rnacentral:rRNA from 1 species